rnacentral:rRNA from 1 species
CCUACGGGAGGCAGCAGUGAGGAAUAUUGGUCAAUUGACGAGAGACUGAACCAGCCAAGUAGCGUGAAGGAUGACUGUCCUGUGGAUCGUAAACUUCUUUUAUCUGGGAAUAAAGUCUUCCACGCGUGCCCGUUUGUAUGUACCUGAUGAAUAAGCAUCGGCUAACUCCGUGCCAGCAGCCGCGGUAAUACGGAGGAUCCGAGCGUUAUCCGGAUUUAUUGGGUUUAAAGGGUGCGUAGGUGGGUUGUUAAGUCAGCGGUCAAAGUUUGCGGCUCAACCGUCAGAUUGCAGUUGAAACUGGCAGUCUUGAGUAGGUGAGAGGUGGGCGGAAUGCGUGGUGUAGCGGUGAAAUGCUUAGAUAUCGCGCAGAACUCCGAUUGCGAAGGCAGCACGCUGGCCUGACACUGACACUGAGGCACGAAAGUGUGGGUAUCAAACAGGAUUAGAUACCCCAGUAGUC